UCCCCCGGCUCGAAGAGUUUGGGAUCCGUAGCGGGAGCGGGAAAGGUGCGCUGGCUUACAAGGUGGCUGGGAGAAUAUCAUGAAAGUCCAGAAGGAUUACACCAUUGAAGAGGCCUGUGUUGUUAUGGAAAAAGCUGUGAAAGCCAUCAAGCCCCAAACAACACAUGAGUGCUGAAGAAAACUGUGUCCGGAUGUUGUGUGUGACUUCACAGGAUUUACAACAGAGCCAAUCAAGAACGUCAUGGAAGAGAUUGUGGAUACGGCACCAAAAAUGAAUAAAUAAAUAAGAUAGGCAUAAAGUAUUUGAAGAUACAGAUCUUGGAGAAA